CAUGUGUGUUUACGUGUGUGUGCAUGUGCAUGUGUGUAUAUGAAUAUACAUACACAUACACAUACACACACAUAAACACACAUGCAACACGCACAUAU
rnacentral:miRNA from 1 species